GUGCUUGCUUCGGCAGCACAUAUACUAAAAUUGGAACGAUAGAGAAGAUUAGCAUGGCCCCUGUGCAAGAAUGAUACGCAAAUUCGUGAAGUGUUCCAUAUUAUA
ensembl:snRNA U6 U6 spliceosomal RNA